rnacentral:rRNA from 1 species
CAGUCGAACGAAGCUUGAAUUCAGAUUUCUUCGGAAUGAAGAAUGAUAUGACUGAGUGGCGGACGGGUGAGUAACGCGUGAGCAACCUGCCCUUCGGAGGGGGAUAGUGUCUGGAAACGGACAGUAAUACCGCAUAACGUAUUUUUACCGCAUGAUAGAAAUACCAAAACUGAGGUGCCGAAGGAUGGGCUCGCGUUGGAUUAGAUAGUUGGUGGGGUAACGGCCUACCAAGUCAACGAUCCAUAGCCGGACUGAGAGGUUGAACGGCCACAUUGGGACUGAGACACGGCCCAGACUCCUACGGGAGGCAGCAGUGGGGAAUAUUGCACAAUGGGGGAAACCCUGAUGCAGCAACGCCGCGUGAAGGAAGACGGUUUUCGGAUUGUAAACUUCUGUUCUUAGUGAAGAAAAAUGACGGUAGCUAAGGAGCAAGCCACGGCUAACUACGUGCCAGCAGCCGCGGUAAUACGUAGGUGGCAAGCGUUGUCCGGAAUUACUGGGUGUAAAGGGAGCGCAGGCGGAAAGCCAAGUCAGCUGUGAAAACUACGGGCUUAACUUGUAGACUGCAGUUGAAACUGGUUUUCUUGAGUGAAGUAGAGGUUGGCGGAAUUCCGAGUGUAGCGGUGAAAUGCGUAGAUAUUCGGAGGAACACCGGUGGCGAAGGCGGCCAACUGGGCUUUAACUGACGC